AUGGGCACGCUCUCUUCGAAGCUCACGCGACGGAAGACUGCAGUUGUCUCGGUCAUAGUCACGGAGCGGGAUGAUCCGGUGUGGACAGCAGCGAACGAGAACCACCUGACCGAAACUGGACCGAAUGCCGUAAUUAAAAAUGCGGUUCAAAAGGUCGCUCCAGAGAUGCAGAAUGUUUCUGUCAUCAGCGAGGAAGGUGACUCACUGCACUCCAUCUUCACGGUGCACCAGCCAUCCCACCCAACAUCCCACCAGCCACCCCACCUCUCAUCCUGGCCACUGAGGACCAGGUGUAGCACUGUGGGGGUCCGGCCUAGGCUGCAGCCAAGGACAGGGCCUAGGACAGGAGGAUCAGGGAAGGAGAACAAUGUAACUGCAGCCAAAGACCCCAGGAUCAGGCAGAAGUACAAAAACACAUCUCAAAGAUUGAGAUGCCUGGUGAAGCAGCUGGACAAGGGAGAGGUGAACGUGGUGGACCUGAGGAAGAAUAUAGAGUAUGCAGCCUCUGUUCUAGAGGCAGUCUAUAUUGAUGAAACCAGGCGUCUUCUGGACACUGAGGAUGAGCUCAGUGACAUCCAGGCGGACUCUGUGCCCAUGGAGGUGCGUGAUUGGCUGGCCUCAACCUUCACCAGGAAGAUGGGCGUGGUCAGGAGACGACCCGAGGAGAAACCACGGUUCAGGAGCAUCGUCCAUGCCGUGCAGGCUGGCAUCUUCGUCGAGAGGAUGUACAGACGGACGUCUAACAUGGCUGGGCUGACGUACCCUCCAGCUGCCAUCGCUGUUUUGAAGGAUGUAGAUAAAUGGGCCUUUGAUGUGUUUGCCCUCCACGAGGCCAGCAGUGAACACAUUGCUGUAACAUAUGAUAUUCCAGUUUCAUCUCUGGUGACCUUCGUAGAGGCUCUAGAGGUGGGCUACAGCAAACACAGAAACCCCUACCACAACCUCAUCCACGCUGCUGACGUCACACAGACAGCACACUAUCUGAUGCUCCACACUGGCAUUAUGCACUGGCUCACUGAACUGGACAUUCUAGCCAUGGUGUUUGCUGCAGCUAUCCAUGACUUUGAACACACUGGGACAACCAACAACUUUCACAUUCAGACCAGGUCAGAGGUGGCCAUCCUGUACAAUGACCGGUCAGUCCUGGAGAACCACCAUGUCAGUGCUGCCUACAGACUUAUGCAAGAAGAUGAGAUGAACAUACUGGUCAACCUGUCAAAAGAUGACUGGCGAGAACUGCGGACUCUGGUGAUUGAGAUGGUGAUGAGUACAGACAUGUCCUGCCAUUUCCAGCAGAUCAAAACCAUGAGGAACGCCCUGCAGCAGCCCGAGGGAGUAGACAAGGCUAAAGCCCUAUCUCUGAUGCUGCAUGCAGCUGACAUCAGCCACCCAGCCAAGGCCUGGAAGCUGCACUACCGAUGGACACAGGCCCUGAUGGAGGAGUUCUUCAGACAGGGCGAUAAGGAGGUUGAGUUAGGGCUGCCAUUCUCCCCUCUGUGUGAUCGUAAAGCUACCAUGAUUGCCCAGUCACAAAUAGGGUUCAUUGACUUCAUAGUAGAACCCACAUUCUCUGUGUUGGUGGACACGACAGAGAAGAUCAUUACACCUCUCAUAGAGGAUACCUUAAAGUCACACGACACUGGUGUCCGCAGGUCAAGUGGGUCAGUGACGGUGGUGGAGUCAGUCCAGAGACACAGUGGUCGAGGGUCCAGCCAGGGGGUUGACCAGGGGCUCACUACAGACUAUAGCCUGGCUGGCAUUGACCUGAAACGGGUCAGACACACACUGGCAGAGGUCAUCCAACACAACAAAGACAGAUGGAAGGAGCUCUCUGUACAAGGUAUAGUUGUUGUUGUUGUUGUUGUUGUUGCUCUUCUUCCUUUUUUUUCUUUGUCUUCUUCAGUCACCUGA
rnacentral:lncRNA from 13 species